rnacentral:rRNA from 1 species
AGGGGUAACAUAGAGUGCUUGCACUCUGAUGACGACCGGCGCACGGGUGAGUAACGCGUAUACAAUCUGCCUCAUACUAGGGCAUAGCCCAGAGAAAUUUGGAUUAACACCCUAUAGUAUCUUUUAGAGUCAUCUCUUUAAGAUUAAAGGUUACGGUAUGAGAUGAGUAUGCGUUCUAUUAGUUAGUAGGUGAGGUAACGGCUCACCUAGACCACGAUAGAUAGGGGCCCUGAGAGGGGGAUCCCCCACACUGGUACUGAGACACGGACCAGACUCCUACGGGAGGCAGCAGUGAGGAAUAUUAGACAAUGGGCGAAAGCCUGAUCUAGCCAUGCCGCGUGCAGGAUGACGGCCCUAUGGGUUGUAAACUGCUUUUAUACAGGAAGAAAAAACUCUACGUGUAGAGUCUUGACGGUACUGUAAGAAUAAGGAUCGGCUAACUCCGUGCCAGCAGCCGCGGUAAUACGGAGGAUCCAAGCGUUAUCCGGAAUUAUUGGGUUUAAAGGGUCCGUAGGUGGACAAUUAAGUCAGAGGUGAAAUCCUGCAGCUCAACUGUAGAAUUGCCUUUGAAACUGGUUGUCUUGAGUCAUUAUGAAGUGGUUAGAAUGUGUAGUGUAGCGGUGAAAUGCAUAGAUAUUACACAGAAUACCAAUUGCGAAGGCAGAUCACUAAUAAUGUACUGGCACUGAGGGACGAAAGCGUGGGUAGCGAACAGGAUUAGAUACCCUGGUAGUCCACGCCGUAAACGAUGGUCACUAGCUGUUCGGACUUCGGUCUGAGUGGCUAAGCGAAAGUGAUAAGUGACCCACCUGGGGAGUACGUUC